rnacentral:rRNA from 1 species
UACAGAGGGUGCGAGCGUUAAUCGGAAUUACUGGGCGUAAAGCGUGCGUAGACGGUUUCGUAAGUCGGGUGUGAAAUCCCCGGGCUCAACCUGGGAAUUGCAUUCGAAACUGCGAGGCUAGGGUACGGAAGAGGGAAGCGGAAUUUCUGGUGUAGCGGUGAAAUGCGUAGAUAUCAGAAGGAACAUCAGUGGCGAAAGCGGCUUCCUGGUCCAGUACCGACGUUCGGGCACGAAAGCGUGGGGAGCAAACAGG